GGCCUGAUGGUCUAGUAGUAUGAUUCUUCCUUCGGGUUUCUACCGCGCGUCUAGAAUGCGCUCAAUGGAAGAGGUCCCGGGUUCAAUUCCCGGUCAGGCCC